UAAAGACGCUGAUUGUACCCAAACCUGGUCUUUCAUAAUUCCAUCAUUUGAGGACAUCCCACUACAAUGCAGAGCAGCACUUUUUUUUUUUUUUUUUUCUCCUAAGAAAUACAGAAUACAAUACAUUACUUCACAAUUUAAUGAGAAGUGGAGUCUGUUCCAUAGAUGUUUGAAGCAAAGCACGAGUAACGUCCCGUAUCCUCCUCAAAAGCUUCAACAAUAACCAGGGAGUGUUGAUCACCUGCCUGGAUAAUUUGAAUGUCUGGAGCUGGUCAGUCACUGUCAGCAAUCCCUGCCACCAUGGAAAGAGUGUUCCCUCGCCUGUAUAACCAAAACUGCUGCUGGUCCUCACAGCCCAUCCUGUGUUUCAGAUGAGGAUCUGUCAUCUGAAAGAGUCUGGAUAUAUUCAGGUUUCCAACUAGGAGAGCACCAGUUGGUGCUGCCUCAGACUGAAGCUGGUGCAGGUUUGCCAGGUAGUGCUGUAGCUGAUAUGACGAUGGGCUUGUUUUCCUCAGAUUGUAUACAAACUCAGAUGACGGUUUCAGUGGUUUCUCAGCAGUGUGCCUGGCAGUCUGCUCGUCACUGCACUUGUGCUCAUCGGAUCGCCUCAGCCAAGUCAGCCUGGGAGAAACACUUUGGAGGACAGCAACACCAUGUUCAGUGAGAAAAGGAAGAAUAUUGGAAGACUCCAAACUGUGACAAUUAGAAAGAAGCUGCAAAUAAUAUGCGCAGAUCUGGUUUCCUGUGUAUUGAGCUGUUGAAGAGGAUUGAAGGUGUAUGAGUGAAGAGAGAAUUUGAAGUGGGGAGAGGAGCGGGAAUUGGGAGCUAGAACUGCUGGUAUCAUGCUGGGAUGGACAGAGUUUGCC